rnacentral:rRNA from 1 species
GAUGAACGCUGGCGGCGUGCCUAAUACAUGCAAGUCGAACGAGGUGCUUUUGUAGCAAUACGAAAGUAUCCUAGUGGCGAACGGGUGAGUAACGCGUUGGUGACCUACCCCAAAGUGUGGGAUAACAGUUCGAAAGAACUGCUAAUACCGCAUGUGGUUAUCGGGUUUAGAAACUGAUAACUAAAGGAGCAAUUCGCUUUGGGAGGGACCUGCGUCCCAUCAGCUAGUUGGUGAGGUAAUGGCUCACCAAGGCUACGACGGGUAGGGGACCUGAGAGGGUGACCCCCCACCAAUAGGAACGUAGAACAACGGUCCGAUACACCUACCGGGUUGGGCAGCAGUAGGGAAGUAAUUGUCAC